rnacentral:tRNA from 1 species
AGUUUUAUAGUCAAAAAAUGAUUUUAAAUUGCAAAUUUAAAGGUAUAUUAUUAUUUAAUAUUAAGGCUU